rnacentral:rRNA from 1 species
AUUGAACGCUGGCGGAAUGCUUUACACAUGCAAGUCGAGCGGCAGCACGGGGGCAACCCUGGUGGCGAGCGGCGAACGGGUGAGUAAUACAUCGGAACAUGCCCAGUCGUGGGGGAUAACACUUCGAAAGAAGUGCUAAUACCGCAUACGUCCUGAGGGGGAAAGCGGGGGAUCGCAAGACCUCGCGCGAUUGGAGUGGCCGAUGUCAGAUUAGCUAGUUGGUGGGGUAAGGGCCUACCAAGGCAACGAUCUGUAGCUGGUCUGAGAGGAUGAUCAGCCACACUGGGACUGAGACACGGCCCAGACUCCUACGGGAGGCAGCAGUGGGGAAUUUUGGACAAAGGGGGCAACCCUGAUCCAGCCAUUCCGCGUGAGUGAAGAAGGCCUUCGGGUUGUAAAGCUCUUUCGGCAGGAACGAAACGGUGAGCUCUAACAUAGCUUGCUAAUGACGGUACCUGAAGAAGAAGCACCGGCUAACUACGUG